CGGAGGUCUGGUGUAGGCCUCUGUGAAGCCUGAACUCCAGUAGGGCCCAAGCCAGCCAGGAAGGAGGAGGCAGCCAGAGUGGCCACCACUGUUCUCUGCAGCAGAAGACCCCCUGCUGCCAGUUUUACUCACGCUGAGGCUCAAGUGUCGUCAGAAUGGGUUGUGCCCUGCUGGCUGCUGCCCCAGACAGGGCCUUCACCCCUUUCUCUGCUUCAUCACACACAGUCUGAAGGCAGAAAUGACACAUAGCUCUAUUUUACUAUGGAAAGGAAAAAGAAAAAAGUAAGGAGGAAACCAGCAUGAAGCCUCCUGCCCCUCCAAUGCAGAGAACAGAAAGUGACCUGGGGAAAUUCACAGAGAUGCAGUUCUGUUAGGCUGCUCUUUCACUGCACCGGGGUCUUCUUUGCUCUUAUGUGACGUAUGUUAGCCGAUAUGUAUAGAUCUGUAUCUCUGUAUGUCAGCCAAUAGGUACAGAUCUAUAUCUGUGCACCCUGUGCAGAGAUCACACGAGUGUUCACCAUAAUGUGUGAACAGGGCUAUACGAUGCAAACAGACUUACCUCCCCUUCCAAGCUAUCAUCAGAGAUCCCUGAGGAUGUGUUGCUUUGUUCUGGCUUUGCAGAAGACAUGGUGGCUUCACU